UACGUAGGGGGCGAGCGUUGUCCGGAAUCAUUGGGCGUAAAGAGCGUGUAGGCGGCUUGGCAAGUCUUGCGUGAAAUCCUGCGGCUCAACCGCAGGCGGUCGCAGGAAACUGCCUCGCUAGAGUCCGGAAGAGGAGAGCGGAAUUCCUGGUGUAGCGGUGGAAUGGCGCAGAUAUCAGGAAGAACACCCGGUGGCGAAGGCGGCUCUCUGGGACGGUACUGACGCUGAGACGCGAAAGCGUGGGGAGCGAACAGG
rnacentral:rRNA from 1 species